GCCGUCAACUUUACCCUUCUCUCGUCUGUGCGCCUAACUCUCUCGAGCAACGGCCGCAAAACCUCCAAUACCCCAAUUAUUCUAUCCGAGGGCCGCCGCCACCCCGCUGACCUUCGAACCAUCGGUCUCCGCUGCUGCUCCGGCGUCCUCCACCUAUCUCGAGCAAUGCCGCUGCUCUCCCCCAAGUCCUGAUCCUCCGGCCUGCGGUCUUCGCCGCGCCGCCGAUCAUAAAAGUGCCGACUUUCAUGGCCGGUACGGCUGUCCUCUAAGGCUGAUCUGGCGGCCCCUCACCUCUCUGGAGCAACAACCCACCAGACCACCACCCAGCCCUGGUCUUCCAUCCGACGACUGACGACACGCCGGUGACCUUCGAAACAUUGGCCUUCGUGGUUGAUCCGCUGAUUACUCGCUUCAUCCUAUAUGAAGACGUGAUAUUUCCAAAUUAUUCCCCUAUUCUCGAGCGAUAGACGAGCUGGGUGAGAGCUCGAGCUCGGCUCGAUUUACGCUUCAAGACUGAUUAAGCCAAGGUCGAGUUAACUGUCUGUGGAAUUUGGAUUUGCUUUUAGCUUUGGUCUUUUGGGUGGCUUGACGUUUUGUGCUCAAUUCAUACCAACAUUUUCCAUUCUUGAAGAUGACAUUGUUGAAGUGGAUGUGUGGCUGAACUACCAUGAUGGAGCUGAAAAUGCCAGAGGACAUUGAGUAGAAUGUGUAGAUGAUAGGAUCGGGGUGAUGAUUUGGCCAUAUGCAACGUAGAUCAAAGACAGUUUUCAUAAGGAGGCAUAUUGGGUAAAGAGGUGUCCGAGGCUGACUUGGAUGAAGCAGUUAGGAGUGAUUUUAAGGCAUUUUUUAUUUUAAAUAUAUUUCUUUGGAGUAGUUAACAGCAAUUUGAAGGCAUAUCUGAUUUUAAAUAUAUUUCACUGUUUUUAUUCCCUAACAUAUUAUAAUUGCUAAUAGUAUUGGUAUGAGACAUGAACAAUGAUGAAAUGCAAUUUUCAUAUAAGGUAUUCAAAAUUUUUUAUCAAGCUUGUCUGUCAUUUUCUAGUAAAAAACAGGGAGGAGUAGAAAUUGAUAACUUAGUAUUUCAGAUAUGAAAUUGGUGAAAAUAAAGUCAAGUUGGAUGUUAAAGCUUAGUAGAUCCUGUUUCAGAAUCUCCCUGGAAACUUGAUCCUGCACAUUUUCCAAAGUGCUUUCUUACUUCAAGAGUUUUUAAAAUAUCCACUUUCUUAAAUAGGCACUCAUGCUUUCUCGUUCACCCUCCCCUAAUUCUAGCAGCCAAGUGUUGAAGGCAUCUAUGAGCUUAAUAAACUUAUGGCACAGGGAACCUUCUUCUUCCAUUAUUAUUCACCUUCAUGUAAGAUCACUAAAUUAAGUCAAAACUUUUAAUCAAGGGGGUUCUUACUUUUGUUCAAUUAUCCAAGAUUUAAUUCUUAUGUCAGGGGACUAGAAAGAGGAGCAUUUUUCAUUUUUUUUGUUUUUAAAAUCCAUGCUUUUGAGUUCAAGAUACUUAUUUAAUCAGUAACUCUCAUUAAUGCAGUAUGUCAUCUUUGAUUCUCAUUUUUGAUUCCCACAUGUUUUCAUGAUGAAUGGUUUUUGUUACUACAACAGAAAUUUGAAGUUAUUGUUGAGUACAUAUACCAACUAUAUAUAAGAAUGUUCAUUUGUCAGAUUAUUAAAUCAAGAAAACACAUUUUAGGGUUGAUCUCUUUUAGUGGUACAAUUUUGUAUCCUAUGUUAGUCAUGCUCUAUGAUAAUAGCACAAUGACACUGUUCUUGUCCGUGCAAUUUUCUCUAUUGAGCUUGGUUCACCUCUAAGUUUUAUUCAUAUUAACAUAGUGCAAGCAUGUAGAGAAAAUAAGUCAAGAGAACCACUGUCUUCUUAUGAUUCGAAGAGAUCACCUUCUGUUGGUGCAAAAAUCCGCUUGCGCCGGAGAAGCUGGAGUUGGGGAAGU